AAUUUAAAACCGUGAGAGAAAAGUAGAAAAAGAAAGCAUGUGAUUCCAAGCUAUUUCGAGAGUUUUAAAGAGUUUUCGAGGUCAGUUCUCUACUGAUUUCGAGUCAGUGCCUAGGGAAGGUUCUGUCCAACUGAAGUUCAAUCAAAUGAAGAUCAGCUCAGAUGGGAAUCAAGUCAACGUGGCUAUAGAGAAAGAGAGAGAGAGAGAGAGAGAGAGAGAGAGA
rnacentral:lncRNA from 1 species